CCCUGCACCCCAACACCCUGGCACCCUGGCAUUUCAGCACCCAGGCACCCCAACAGCCUGGCACCCCAAUACCGAGCCCCUCAGGCACCCCAGCGCCCGAGCACCCUGGCACCCAAAACCCUGAUAACCCAGCAUUCCCACACCCUGGCACCCCAACAUCCCAACACCCUGCUACCCCAGCACCCCAAAGCCCUGGCACGCCAACACCCGAGCACCCCUAAACCUCGACACCCCCGCUCCCUGGCACCCCAACACCCUGGCACUCCAGUACCCCAAACACGGGGACACCCCAUUGCCUCAGUACCCCAACACCCUGACACCCCAUUACCCCAGCACCCCAAACACCCUGAUACCCCAACAGCUGUGCACCCCUGAACCUCAACACCCCCGCACCCUGACACCCCAGUACCCCAGCACCCCAAACCCCCCGGCACCCCAACAUCGUGGCUCUCCAGCACCCCAAACUCCCCGGCACCCCA
rnacentral:lncRNA from 12 species